AUGCUCACUUUGGCAGCACAUAUACUAAAACUGGAACAAUAUAGAGACAGAAGAUUAGCAUGGGCCCUGUGCAAGGAUGACACGAAAAUUCACAAAGUGUUCCAUAAAAAA
ensembl:snRNA U6 U6 spliceosomal RNA